AAAUGGUUAGGAUAGAGGAGAGGAUUCAGAGAUUCGGAAAUUAGGGAGGUUAAGAAAAAGGGAGGAUACAAGGUUUUUGGGUAGAAGUCAGAAAAGAGACUUCUGGCGAUCAAUGUUGAAAGGUCGAUGUGUUGUACUAGUGAAUCAGGGUUUUAAUGAAGUGGGUGUCAUUACUCUUCACUAUUUUGUGAAAUCGAAGUUACGUCUGUGAUUGAAGAAUUAAAAGGAUGUCUAUAGGAUUGAGUAUGCGGAGUGAAUGAAAUUUUUUGGAUUAAUCUAACAAGACAGUCAGUGGAUACAAGGUCUUGAGUAUAAAGGGGUAUUGGAGAUAAGCAGAUCAAGUUGUUUGGGGUUCUCUGUAAUGUCUAGAGACCUACCGACAGGGACAAAAAGAAUUUUGGCGAGUAGUCGAAGGACAUCCAUAUAGAUUUAUGAUAUAUUCUUGUAAUUGUUCAUAUUCCAAUAGUCAAAAACUAAUAGAUUGCUUGAAUAUUAGAAAAUCUCUAUACUACCUCCUACAGCCAGACGCCCGAUGUCGUAUUACGUAUUUUCCUGCUUGAGAAUGCGCCGGGCGUCUGGCUGUAGAAGGUAGUAAGGAGAUUCGUCAAUAGUCAAGCAGUCUAUCAGUUUUUGACUGUUAGAAUAUAAACGACUGCAAGAAUACACGUAAAUCUAUAUGGAUGCUCCUUUGACUGCUCGCCGAAGUCCUUUUUGUCUCGGCCGGUAGGUCUCUAAACGUUACAGAGAACCCCAAACAACCCAAACUGUUAAUCUUUGUUACCGCUUUGUACUUACAAUCUUGUAUUCACUGACUGUCUUGUUAGAUUAAUCCAAUAAAUUUUAUUCACCCCGCAUACUCAAUCCUAUAGACACCCUUUUAAUUCUUUCAAUCUCAGACGUAACUCAAUUUUAUAAAACAGUCAAGAAUAAUCAAACCCACUUCAUUAAAAAUCUCGAUUUACUAUUAUAACACUGACUUCAGCAACGAUUGCCUCAGUCUUCCCAAAACCCUAUGAAGAAAAAAAACCCAAUUCUCUCUCCUUUCUUCCCCGACCCAAAGCAUGAAGCUCCUCUCCAAUCCCCUCCCAAAAACUCUCCCCCCCCUAAACCUUAUCCUCUGAAUUUCUUCAAUCUUCCGUCUUGGAUCCAAAAUUGGCUCACACCGUCAGAGCUUAGAUCCGAAAUUGGCUCUCGCCAUCAAAGCUUUCUCCUCCGUUUUUACCUUUAAGAGAUCCAUUUACCGAAAACAACGUUCUCUAAAACGGCACAAAGAAUAGGACAGCCUGAAACAGAAUCAAAACCCCGUACUCGGGUCCACAUUGAGUCGCCCGACCAAUUCAGGUCUCAUAUUGGAUAAGAUGCCUGUAGUAACUUGGAUGUUCGCGUAAUUGGGUUCAAAUAGUCCUUGCGUUAGAUUGGCUAAGGUCCGUAGUAAGACUUGGAUUUUCCCGUCAUUACACUGCAUUGGGUUGCCCGGCCAAUUCAGGUCUCAUAUUGGAUAAGAGGACCCGGAUUGGAUUCUUGAAAUUGGAUCCAAUUGGCUCUUCGAACCAAGCUCACCCGUCGUGUGAAUUGGUCCUUUCUCUUCCUACUGACUCUCGUUAAUGGAAUCGAAUGGAGCAUUUCAAUAUCCCCCGGCUGACUGUAACGGGGUGACUGAACCUGGCCACUCAGUAUGUGCAUCAGAGUUGGUCGUUGCUCCCAAUAUUCGAGGUAACUGAACAUUAAUAAAAGUCCCCUUUCUUUAUAUUUUUAUAGUAUACUCGUGUUACAACACGACAUCCACCCCCUCUGAACCUGUGCAUCCUCCAGUAUACACCAAUUUACCCGAUUGCUGUUUGAUUCAGAAUAUAUCCUCUACGUCUUUGUCCUGUUCGUCUUCGUCACCUUCAUUAUCCAAAUCACUUUCAACUUCUUGCUGCUGAAUCUCUAUACCUUCAUUAAGGUCUUCCAUAUUCAUCUCCGCAUGUCUUCGUUUAAAUAUUAUUACUCGCUUCCCUGCAAUUGGUAUUUUCAAUUUUGUACCAUCUAACUCCCGUAACGAGUAAGUCGCAUUAUCAUGAACUGUUGUUACCACAUAUGGUCCAAACCAACGUUUUGAAAAUUUUCGCAAAGUACUAUGUUGAUUAUCUAGACUAUUGUCAUAAAUAAGUACCCAGUCACCUUCCUCCAUUGCUUUUGGUCUCAAUCGAUGUUGCUUAUCGAAUCGCACCUUGUUUUGUAACCUUGCUCUUUUUAACCUUUCCAAUGUUAUCUGGCCAUCUUUCGUUCUUUGCUCCAAUUGUCGAAUCCUAAUAGCCAGAAGUUCUUCUCUUGUCAAUCUAUCUUCCCAUGGUAGCAUACUCCAAGUAAGUACCUUUUCUUCAAUCGACAUAAUUGGUUUUUGACCUGUCAUAAGUUCUACUGGCAAAUAUCCUGUCACCGAGCUAUGUAUUGUUCGAUCAGCCCAUAAUGCAAAUGACAAAAGCCGUGGCUACUCUUUAACUUUCCCAUUAUAAGCUUUAACCAAUGCUUUCACAAUCGGUGGGUGACCACGUUCGCUUUUUGCAUUCCUUUUUGGAUUAUAAGCAGUAGUCAGUGAUAGUUUAACUCCACAUCUUUCAAAGAACUUACGAGCUUCUUGUGCAUUUAAUUCUCCACGAUUUGCAGUGAUUUUUCCUACGCACCCGUAACGGCAAAUGACAUCUUCAAGCAAAAAUCUACAAAUCCCCUCUGUAGAUUUUGUCCUCAAUGCUCUUCCUUCUACUUGAUUUGAUAAAUCUUCGCGAGCUAAAACCAAAUAUCUCAUCUACCAUAACCCAACCGGCAUAAUAACCAAAUCAACAACCCAUUUAAAAUGAAUAGCCAGAGGAUAUGUAGAAUGAAGACCAUCUCGGUGUCGGAUAUUAGAAUACGAUUGACAGAUUUCACAUGACUCUACAAAUGAGAGCACAUCUCGAUACAUAUUUUUCCACCAAUAUCGUUCCUUGAGUUUAGCAAAAGUAGCCCAUAUUCCUCUAUACCCUGCCCAUAAACUAUCAUGAAACUCCUUCAAAAAUUUUAGUUUUUCUUCCCUUUUGCCUAUCACUCAUCGUGGCAUCCCAAUUCCUUUCUUCGGUCUUUUCCAUAAGAAUCCAUCUCGAAGUAAAAAUCCAUAUGCUUUUUUUCUAAAUUUGUUUGAAUUUUUCUGAAGACCGAUUUCCUUGCUUAGUCAAGGUAUUCAAAUAAUGACCAAUAUCCAAUAAUUCUCUUUCAAAAGAUUCUUCAAGAAAUAGCUUGUCUUCUUUGUUGAGAUUUGAUAUUGAAUAGAAUUUCAAUCCGAAGUCAUCAAUGUCUUCAACCAUUUUGUCCUCCCUCUCGUAUCUUGCUUGAGAUAGCAUGUCUGCUACUAAAUUGUCUUUUCCAGUAAUAUGCUUAAAUUCUGGAUUUAGUGACUUAAUAUAAGCAAUCCAUCUCAACAUUGCAAUAUCUGGAGUUGAACAGUUAAUAAUCAUUCCAAGCAAUGGCAAGCAAUCUGUUUCAAUUACUACUACUGCCCCAAUCAAAUAAUCCCUUUCAGCUUUCAUAGCCGAAACGACUCCCCAAAGUUCUCUUUUGACUUGCGAAUAUGCACGCUGACGAAUACUUAAAACUUUAGCACCAAACCGAACUGUAAAUCUAUUCCCACUGGAAUCAUCUUGAUCCACAGCCCAUCCAAUGGCAAUUGGACUAGCGUCCACAAUAAGAAUCACUGGUCUAUUGCACUUAUAAUCAACCUUCCUCAAUAUUGGAGGUGACAUCAAUAAUUUCUUCAAUCUUUGCAUUGCUUGAAUAUGCCUUUCUUCCCAUUUAAAUCAGUAACCCUUGCGUAACAGUUCAUAUAAUAAUCCGCUAUGUGAGUAAAAUGAGGGACCCAAAUUCGAUAAAAUACACAUGCAUCCAAAAACCUGCGAACCUCUGUUAAAGAAUCACAAUCUUCUUUCAUCCAUCUAAUUGCAUCAACUUUAGUCAGAUCAAGUUUUCUUCCGUAAGAUCCACAUAAAUGUCCAACAAUCACAACCUCUCGUACUCCAAAUACGGACUUCAUACCUGAUAAUGUACGAUGAACUUCUCCAAGCCGAGUUCACAAUCUUGUAUAUGAUCAACAACAAAUUUGCGACACCCCCUCGUAUCUAAAGUUUCAUCCUUGUCUCCUUCUCUGCACCCUUUUAUAGGAACAUCAUCUAGAAAAGGCAUAGUCUUUUUCGGAAUAAAAUCUCUCAAUACCUUAUUCAUCCCAUUCAUCAUAUGCGCAACUGAGUUGGUCGCGCCUUGAGGAAGAGUGCACAUUCUAACUAAUCCAAGUGGUGUCCUCAUUGUUGUCACAUCUCUACUUCCUUCGGCAAGUUGAAAUUGAUCAUAACCUGAAUACAAGUCACCCAUUGAAUAGAUCGCCCUUCUUGCAAACACCUCAGUAAAUUCAUCCACAAUAGGUCCAAUUCCUACAUUUCUGACAGUUACUGCAUUCACUGGUUGCAUAUCUUGAAUAAACCGUAGUGACCCAUUCUUCUUAGGUACCGUAAACCAUCGACUAGAAUACAGCGCAAAUGAGGGUUCCAAUAUUUUCAUCUUCAUCUUUUCUUUUAAUAGUUCCCGCAAUUUAGGUAAAUGUGCCCUCGAUACUAGAAACGGUCUUAGAUUUCAAGGUACAUGUGGUAUAGUUAAGAUAACCAUAGGUGUUAUAAUAUUUGGAUCCACACAUCCAAUUUCAUAAGUUUCAAAGGCAAACGAUCUACCUUGUUUAGCCAACAUCUUUUUGAAGCAAGUAAUUUCCUCCAGCAAUAAAGAACCAUCAGAACCAAUCUUCAAUUCUUCAAAAGUCUCUUUAGUAAACUGAUGUCCAAUACUCAUUGGAUCUCUUAAACUUGCUUCUUUUGAUGCUUCUCCCAUUUGUUCUUUAGAAUCUUCUGGUAAUGGUCCGGCAACAGGCUUUACUUUCUUAUCUGCCGUUUUACAUCUCGUCUCUACAGUGACUUUUGGUGCUUGAAAAGAUUCAAGCAUGGUAUAAACCACUCUUGAAUGAAUCUCAACAAUCUUAUCAUUAUCCCCUAACCCAAUAGAUGUAAUCAAUUCCAAUGAAUCUUCCAGUCCAUUUUCUUCAUAAACACCUAAAAUCCUCUCAUCAUCUUGCAGUGUAUCUAAUUUUCGUAAUUCUCCUUCAAUAUCAUAUAACCUUUUUCUUCUUUUUCUUUAAAAAUCAUCAACUUUCUUAUACAUAAUAUUUCCAUUCUCCAAUAUACCAAUAAAACUCGCAUCAAAGGCACCUUUAUCUCGCGAGAGUACCUCCUCCUUUGUACCUCGAUAAUCUCGCUUUACAGUGGUACCUCCCCAAAAUCCUUAAAUCCUUCAACAAUCUUUGGCAAUGGUUUCUCCCUCAACCUAUCUCGAUUCCGUUCAUGGUUAGGACGUACUGUUAGAAAUUGUACAGCUUUCCUCCCAUCUUCGCUCCGUACCCUUGCAUAAGCAGAACCAUCGUCAAGUACUUUUGUUUCCAUCCGUGUUGCCAUAAUAUAAGGUUGUCCUAAAAUCAACGAAUAAGACGUUGUAUCUUGAACAAAGAAAUGUUGCUCUGUCACAACAUCCCCAAUCCGAAUUUUGACAUCUGGACAAGCUCCAUAUAAUUCGCCCCAUGUGUUAUUAGUUGCUCGAAUUGUCCAUCCAUGUUCCAUAUCAAUUGGCUAUUUUUGCUUCUUAUAAAGAUCUUUAGACAUGAGAUUUAUUUCAGAACCAUGGUCGACUAAAGCAAAAAUUGGUUCUUCAAUAUCUCCUACUUUCACCAAUACCUCAAUAGUUGCCCUUGCUCAAUGCUUUCGAGUAUAAUGGCUCAAAGUUUCCAUUUCCUUGUCACUAGAAUCAUUGAAACGUACUCGUUGAUUAUACCCAUUCUUUUCAUUUGUUGGUUGCUUGUAACUUAUAUCAACCUCUUCUUCAUCUUUAUAUAUUUUUGCAUCAAUAGCAUGACUCAUUCCAGUUUCGCCCAUUAAUUGCCUCUUUUGCUUAAUGCUGUCAAUGAUGACAUCAUGAAACUCCUUCUUUGCAAUUCCCAAGACUUCUUUCAAUGUGAAUUCCACCUUAGCGUUUAAUAUACGUUCUUUCAACACCCCUUUCAAAUUUUUUGCCACUUCAAUGUCAAAAAGUAGCUUAUAAGCAAUUGAUUUGCCCUUAUCUUUUGUCUCCAUUGUUUUUUCUCCCAAUGAUGCUGAGGUAUCUUUUACAGGCAAUUCUUGUGAAGCUGCCUCCUGAGCCUUGUCUCCUUGACUUUGCCUCUUAGAAGAAUUUCCUUCUCUAGUAUCAUCAAAAUUUCUUCGUCUCUUUUCUUCUAUGAAAUCUUCAUGUUGGCUCUUAGCAAUAUAUGCAUGAACUGAAAGAGACUCAACAGGAUCCUCCGAACUUGUUCUACCUCGUAUUGUAGGUGCAGUCUUCAAUAACGCUUCUCGAGGUAAUUUCCCUUCUUGCAUUGAAAAAAUGGCAGAAAACCAAAACUCACUAGUUUCCGUACUUCCACCAAUUUCAUCAUCUAUUCUAGCACCAUAACUUGCACUUUCUCGUGCUGAUGUUUCAUGCUCUUUUAGGUAAUCUUGAACUAAUGCUCUCAUUCUUCCCUUGCCAAAAUUGGUUUGAAGAAGAUCCUCCCUAUCUUUCAAUGCUAUCUUCCCAUCUUUCUAGCAAAUAAUUCCCUGCGUAUCAUAUUAUUAAAUUCAUUGCAAUCUUUUCUAGUGUGUGAAGCAUCAUCACACCAAAUGCAUCUUUGUACAUAUCCUUAUUUUGAAACAUUCUUCGAAUUGUUUAUAGAAGUAUUCUCUUCAAGUCUUGCCAAUUUGAUUUAAAGAUCUCGCAUUCUUCGUAUAAUUUCUUCCAUCCGCAUAUCUGCUUUCUUUGAUAAGGAUGUCGAAGGUUGAACUGUAGGCAUUGUUGGUGCUGUUGUACGUACUCGAGCUUUGGAUGCUUGUAUUGCUUCUGAUUAUUGCUCCUAUCCUUCCUCCUUUCUUUUUUUGUAAGCAACCCCACUGCAUCUUCAACGUUCUUCCACUUAGUUGUCAAUCCUUCAUCUUCUUCUUUGUCUUUAAGAAGGAGUUAUAAUUUCUCUUGCAAUUCUCUAUCAGCAGCUUGAAGAAAUAGAUCAACUUUGUUCGGCUCCAAUGUCAAUUUUUCUACCUUCGACAAUUGAGAGUAUUGCCUCUCAAAUUCCCUUAGUAGCUCUGUUGCUUGCAAAUUCUUAUUGGGCCGUUCAAUCCAUUCCAGAAACAGCUUCUUAGUAAUACGAUCAACAUCUUCCAAGAAAUAUUCGUCUUUCAAUGCAUGUGAAAAAACCUCCCAUGAAUUCCCAUAACGAUCUGUAAUCGAUGUAAUGUAGUCUCUUAUCUCCGGUAUCAUAGCAAGUCCAAAUAAUUCAACCAUUUUUUUUUCAGAAACCCGAUUUAAUUCCAUUUCACGAACAUAACAUCUUAAUGUCACGGCCAUAAUCAUGUAAGCUAAUAAUUACAUAUAGAAAUAGGUAGAAGUAAGUAAAAGUAGAUAAAAGUAAGUUAAUUGUAUAAUAUUUAAUAUAAAAGCUUCCUAGAAACUUCCUAGACGCUGCUUUGAGUUCAUAGGUGUCUUUAAUUGACUUUUUGGAUUAGAAACGUGGUCAACAAGUUGGCCAUGUGCCACACAUGUUGUUAGCUUGAAGAUCAAGCUAACUAUGUGGCCCACACGUAGAAAAACUUGCCUUGUAAGUCAAGGCAUGUGUCCUACAAAGUCAACACAUAUUGGAAGUCCUAUAGAACGUCGCCACGUAGCCGCUAGUUAGAUAGUAUAUAUAGAGACAAGAGUGAAGGCUUCUUCACUCUUGUCAACUCCUUUCUUGCUUCUAGUCCAGGUUCAAGAGUCUUUAGUUUCUUGUCUUGCGGCAAUAGCCAUUCCAGUUUCCUUUUAAUAUACCUACUUGUUUAUAUUUUGACUUAUUAUAUCGAGAUAGCCUUUUGGUGUAUAUUUUUCCUCAUCGAGUCUUUGUCCUUGACAGAUUGGCAAGAGUACACUUACAAUAUCAGAGCUUUGUUUUUUCUUGAGUAAGAGUGGAUUACCCCUUUCUCUUGACAAGACAUAAGCGUAUUAGAAGUUUGCGGAUUACCCACUUCUAAACUGAUAUUGUUCUUAGUAUCUUCUUUGUUAUCAAGUCUUUCUUUUCUUUUGUCUUGAGCAAUAUCAAACAAAUUUUUCUUCUUAGUGUCAUUAUGGCCGAGCUUGUUGAAAUGAAGAGUGCAAUGGCACAAAUGCAAGAGCAAAUGAGGGAGUUAAUGCUUGCGAUGCAUCAACUCAAUUCACCAACACAGGAAAGAACAAGAAUAGCAGAAAGUGGAGAUAUAGAGAUGAUCGGAGCUGCUUCAACAUCUACAACAAAUCACGUUCCUUCUCCAAUUGUACAACACCCUGUAAGCACUAGAGAACCAAGAAUUACCUUAUCUGAGAAAUUUUAUGGUACGAGAUCAAAGUUUCGAGGGUUCAUCAAUCAAGUACAAUUGGCAAUUGAACUUCAACCGCAAAGCUAUCCAACUCCAGGAUCACAAGUCAGGUUUAUUGGCACUCUACUUUCUGGUUCUGCAUUAUCGUGGUUUUCGUCUUUUCUUGAACAACGAAAUCCAAUAUUGGAUAAUUUGGAAGCUUUUUUGGUGGAGUUUCGAUCUAUGUAUGGUGAAUACGAUGCAACUCGUGUUGCAACAAAUAAGAUCCGAAUUCUGCGACAAGGAAAUCACUCAGUAACAGUAUAUGCUUCACAAUUUCGACAACUUGCAAUUGACAUCAAGUGGGAUGAUGCUGCACUCAUCAGUCAAUUUCUUUAUGGAUUGCAAUACGAAGUAAAGAAAUUGAUGCUCAACUUAUCUGAUCCUCAAACUUUGAGUCAAGCAAUCGAUUUUGCGGUAAAAUGUGAUAAUCGACUUUUUGAAUUUCGAUCUGAGAAUCAUUCACAGGAACCUCAACGUUAUUACUCAAUGACAACAUCAACAUCUUUGCCAAACGUACAUUCGAAAGUAGAAGACAUGCAAAUUGACGCGGUACGUUUUAAACCUCUAACUGAGCAAGAAAAGAUUUGUCGUCAUCAAGAAGGAUUAUGUUUAUAUUGCGGAGAACCUAAGCACACUGCUCAACAUUGUCCAAAGAAACGACGCAACUAUAAAAUGAGGGGUACGACGGUCAAAAAAGACAACAUGUCGGAAAACGGAUUCGUCCAGCUACAAUAGGGACCGUGCAGCUGGAACCUUGUACAAUUCCUAAUGAAGGUCCUAUCCUCUCCUCAGAACCCUCUCCUUGUUUUAUAAUAGACUUAUAUUUAGGACCUAAGAAUUACAAAGCCUCUGUUUUAUUAGAUUCGGGAGCCUCAGCAUGUUUUUUAGAUGAACAAUUUGUUAAAAGUCGUAAAAUACUCUUUAUACAGAAACCUAAACCAAUACAUGUAGAAGUCAUAGAUGGUCGUCCCUUGUCUUCUGGAGAUGUCACUCAUGAAACUCAUCCUAUAAAAGUAACAAUAGAUGGUCAUGAUAGCUACAUAGCUUUUAACAUAAUUAAAUCCCCGUCCAAUCCAGUUAUUUUAGGUUUAUCCUGGCUAGAAAAAUAUAACCCUCGAAUAGAUUGGAAUUCGUAUAAACUUGACUUUUCCAAAAGCGUUAUUAAUAGUUCUACGAACCAAGUAAAAAAUUAUAAGUCUAGUACAGUAAAACCCGUACUGAUAGGUGCAAAAGCAUUUAUACACGCAGCAAAAGAAGGAUCAACUUUUGCUAUUUAUGCUGCACCUAUUUCUGAAAACGUAAAGACUUCAAGUGGCAUUCCAAGUCAAUAUCAGGAGUAUCAAGACGUUUUUGAGAAAAAGAAUGCAUAUAUUCUUCCUGAGCAUCGUCCAUAUGAUUGUUCAAUCGACCUCAAGGAAGGAACUCAGCCACCAUUUGGACCAAUUUACAGUUUAUCGCAAGAUGAGAUGGCUGAACUCAAGACAUAUAUUGACGAGAAUUUAGCAAAGAAUUUCAUACGCCAUUCAAAAUCUCCAGCAGGAGCUCCAAUUCUAUUCGUAAAGAAAAAAGAUGGAUCUUUACGAAUGUGUGUUGAUUAUCGAGGACUCAACAAGAUCACAAUCAAGAACAGGUAUCCAUUACCUUUGAUAUCAGGACUCCUUGACCAGUUGAAUCAAGCUAAGAUCUAUACAAAAAUAGAUCUAAGAGGAGCAUAUAAUCUAGUACGGAUCAAAGAAGGAGAUGAAUGGAAGACUGCGUUUCGAACCAGGUAUGGACAUUUCGAAUAUAAUGUCAUACCCUUUGGACUCACGAAUGCACCAACUGCUUUUCAACAUCUCAUGAAUGAUGUAUUUUGUGAAUUCUUAGACAAUUUUGUCGUCUACUAUCUAGACGAUAUCCUGAUCUAUUCCAAGAACGUCGAAGAACAUGAAAUACAUGUUCGUUAAGUAUUACAAAAACUUAGAGAUGCAGGAUUGUACGCCAAGAUGGAAAAGUGUGUAUUUCACACUACUCAAGUUAACUUUUUAGGAUACAUCAUUUCAAAUGAUGGUCUCAUGAUGGAUUCUAAGAAAGUCCAAACAAUCGUGGAUUGGAAGAUUCCAAGGACGGUAAGAGAUGUCCAAUGUUUCUUGGGAUUUGCCAAUUACUAUCGGAUCUUCAUCAAAGAUUUCUCACGAUUUGCAGCUCCACUUACACGCUUGACUAGUAAAGAUAAAUUUCAAUGGAAUCAAGAAGCGAAAGCAGUAUUUGAAGCAUUGAAGACAUCGUUUGUCUCUGCACCAGUCUUAUAUCAUGUUGACUUUUCCAAGGCAUUUUUUAUGGAAACAGAUGCAUCAGAUUUUGCCUUGGGUGCAGUUUUAUCACAAAUGGGAACAAAUGACAAACUCCAUCCGAUAGCUUUUCAUUCAAGAAAAUUCUCAGCAGCCGAGAUCAAUUAUGAGAUCCACAAUAAAGAACUUCUUGCGAUCGUGGAUUCCUUUCAAGAAUGGCGUCAUUAUCUAGAAGGCGCUUCUAGUCCAGUCACUGUGUAUACAGAUCACAAGAACCUCGAGUAUUUCAUGUCAGCACGCAUGUUGAAUCGUCGUCAAGCUCGUUGGAGUAUGUCUUUGUCAAGAUUCGAGUUCAUUAUCACUUAUCGGCCAGGAAAACAACAAGGUUUAUCCGAUGCCCUAUCUAGACGUUCUUAUUUUGCACCAAAAGAAGGAGAUGCAGCUUUUGAGCAACAAAGAACGGUCCUCUUGAAACCGGAGCAAUUUCAUCUCUGAGCAAUGAAAUCAACAUUGACUGUUGAUUCAACUUUUCUCAAGCAAAUCCAGUCCAGUAUGUCCUCAGACCCUCUUGUUUAUGAUAUCGAGAAUAAUUCUUCUAAGUCUCAUGAUCCUUCUAAGUUUGAGUUCAAGAAUAAUCUAUUAUAUUUUGAAGGACGCCUAUAUGUUCCAGAAGGAGAAGCACGUUUACGUGUUCUUCAAGCACGUCAUGACUUUCCAGCAGCAGGGCACUUUGGAUAUAAUAAGACUUUGGAACUCAUAUCAAGAGAUUUUUGGUGGCCACAAAUGUGGAAGUCAGUCAAAGACUUUGUACAAUCAUGUGAUAUUUGUUCAAGAUCAAAAAUUCCUCGUCAUCCACCUUACGGACUUCUUCAGCCAUUACCUAUACCAGAACAACCAUGGUCUUCUGUUUCUAUGGAUUUCAUCACAGAUCUUCCAAGCACAAGAUCUUAUGAUUCUAUAUUUGUGAUAGUAGAUCAUUUCACCAAGAUGGCACAUUUUGUGCCAUGUACAAAAUCUAUCACAGGUGAAGAAACAGCUAAGCUUUUCAUUGAUAAUAUCUAUCGCUAUCAUGGAUUACCUAAAGAUAUCAUAUCGGAUAGGGGAACUCAAUUUGUGCCAAGAUUUUAAAAGACCCUUUUCAAGAUUUUAAAAGUGGACAUAAAGCUAUCUUCAGCUUUCCAUCCUCAAACUGAUGGACAAACAGAGCGCGUAAACCAAGUCUUGGAACAGUAUUUAAGGUGUACCAUCAACUACCAACAAGAUGAUUGGACAAACCUUCACCCAUUGGCAGAGUUUGCUUAUAAUAAUAUGGUACAUUCCUCCACGCAACAAACACCUUUCUUUACCAAUUAUGGCUAUCAUCCACGACUUGAUACUUUUGAUUUUUCAAAAGUUGAUAAUCCUGCAGCAGAAGAUAUGGCAAAUCGGUUGUCAGAGUUACAUGCAAUAAUGAAGGCGCAGUUGAAGAAAGCUCAAGAACGACAAAAGAUAAAUGCAGAUGUAUAUCGUAAAGAGCAACCACAACUCAACGUGGGUGAUAAGGUAUGGCUACUUCGUCGCAAUAUCAAGACUACUCGACCUUGUGACAAGUUGGACUAUCGUAGGCUUGGCCCCUUUUCUGUUUCUGAACAGAUCAACCCAGUUGCAUAUCGGUUACAUCUAUCGGAGUCAAUGAAGAUCCAUCCUGUAUUCCACGUAUCUCUUCUUGAACCAUAUAAGACAGUGGAUAUACAAGGAAGAAGACAAAUGCCACCGCCUCCUAUAGAAGUAGAUAAUAAUGAAGAAUUUGAGGUGGAAGAGAUAUUAGACUCAAGGCGGUGCCAAAACAAGCUGGAAUAUCUUGUUUAUUGGCGCGGAUAUGAUAUUAGUGAACGCACAUGGGAGCCAUCCAGGAAUCUAGCAAAUGCAUCAGCUAAAGUCAAAGUUUUUCAUCAACGACAUCCGUCAAAACCAAGAUGAAAAUCUCUCUUAUAAAAGAGACAAGAUUGAGGCAAGAUAACAUUCAAUUUCCUAUCCUUGUUUGUAAUUUCUUUACAUUUGUGACGCUAAUUAGAUGGAGAGCCAACAACCAACGGAUUCAACUCAAGAACCUUCAUUUGCUGACCUGUCGGACGAGACAUUACGAUUGUCACAACCUUCAAGACGACGCAAUCGAGAUGAAGAUCUUCAAGAACGACAUGUUCUUCCUCGAACAGAUGGUGAGGGACAACGCGUUUGGUAUCAUGAUUUGAUAAGGGACUCCCGAUGUUUGGUGAUUUUACUAGAAGUAGGAACAACUCCUGAUGGUGUUCCGAAUAUUCUAUUCGAAGGAAGUUAUGAAGGCCUCAAUAAUGAUCAAAUAAUUGGGUGGUCUUCCCGCCCUAGUAUGGGACACUACCGAUGGUUGAGAGGCCCUAUCAAUCAUCUUCGAAGAGAACAAAGAUCAGAGUAUGUGGCGAAUAUAAUUUGUCGCAUCAUAGAUUUCCUCAACAUAUGAUGACCGCUCCUCGUGGAACUCGUCUCUAGAAGGGGGGGUAAUGUCACGGCCAUAAUCAUGUAAGCUAAUAAUUACAUAUAGAAAUAGGUAGAAGUAAGUAAAAGUAGAUAAAAGUAAGUUAAUUCCAUAAUAUUUAAUAUAAAAGCUUCCUAGAAACUUCCUAGACGCUGCUUUGACUUCAUAGGUGUCUUUAAUUGACUUUUUGGAUUAGAAACGUGGUCAACAAGUUGGCCAUGUGCCACACAUGUUGUUAGCUUGAAGAUCAAGCUAACUAUGUGGCCCACACGUAGAAAAACUUGCCUUGUAAGUCAAGGCAUGUGUCCUUCAAAGUCAACACAUAUUGGAGGUCCUAUAGAACGUCGCCACGUAGCCCCUAGUUAGAUAGUAUAUAUAGAGACAAGAGUGAAGGCUUCUUCACUCUUGUCAACUCCUUUCUUGCUUCUAGUCCAGGUUCAAGAGUCUUUAGUUUCUUGUCUUGCGGCAAUAGUCAUUCCAGUUUUCUUUUAAUAUACCUACUUGUUUAUAUUUUGACUUAUUAUAUCGAGAUAGCCUUUUGGUGUAUAUUUUUCUUCAUCGAGUCUUUGUCCUUGACACUUAAAUACCUUGAAAUAUUCCUCCCAUCAAAUUGAUCAAUUUUAUUGACCACUGCUUGCAAUGCUUUGGUUGCCAAAGCUUCCUUUCGAUCAUUGCUUUGUUGUUGCUGCAUUGAUAAUGAGAAGGCUUGAAACAUACUAGUAUUAGAUGGAUCCUGUGCAUACCUUGUCCUUUAGAAGAAUCCUCACUAGAAACUCCUCCCAAAAAUCCUUCAAAAUUUUUAUUUUCGUUUUCCAUAAAAUAAAGAUAAAAUCAAAUGAAAUCCAAUACCUUCCACCUCAAGCUUUCACGUCGGGUUUACCACUUUUGUCGAAUUACGUGCUUUCCUGCUCAAGAAUGCGCCGGGUGUCUGAUUGUAGAAGGUAGUAAGGAGAUUCGCCAAUAGUCAAGCAGUCUAUCAAUUUUUGACUGUUAGAAUAUAAACGACUACAAGAAUACACCAUAAAUCUAUACAGAUGCUCCUUCGACUCCUCGCCGAAGUCCUUUUUGUCCCGGCCGGUAGGUCUCUAAACGUUACAGAGAACCCCGAACAACCCAAACUGUUAAUCUUCGAUACCGCUUUGUACUUACAAUCUUGUAUUCACUGACUGUCUUGUUAGAUUGACCCAAUAAAUUUCAUUCACUUCGCAUACUCAAUCCUAUAGACACCCUUUUAAUUCUUUCAAUCUCAGACGUAACUCAAUUUUACAAAACAGUCAAGAGUAAUAAAACCCACUUCAUUAAAAAUCCCGAUUUACUAUUAUAACACUGACUUCAGCAACGAUUGCCUCAGUCUCUUCAAAACCCUAUGAAGAAAAAAAACCCAAUUCUCUCUCCUUUCUUCUCCGACCCAAAGCAUGAAGCUCUUCUCCAAUCCCCUCCCAAAAACUCUCCCCCCCCUAAACCUUAUCCUCUGAAUUUCUUCAAUCUUUCGUCUUGGAUCCGAAAUUGGCUCACACCGUCAGAGCUUAGAUCCGAAAUUGGCUCUCACCAUCAAAACUUUCUCCUCCGUUUUUACCUUUAAGAGAUCCAUUUACCGAAAACAACGUUCUCUGAAACGGCACAAAGAAUAGGACAGCCUGAAACAGAAUCAAAACCCCGUACUCGAGUCCACAUUGAGUCGCCCGACCAAUUCAGGUCUCAUAUUGGAUAAGAUGCCUGUAGUAACUUGGAUGUUCGCGUAAUUGGGUCCAAAUAGUCCUUGCGUUAGAUUGGCCAAGGCCCGUAAUAAGACCUGGAUUUUUCCGUAAUUAGACUGCAUUGGGUUGCCCGGCCAAUUCAAGUCUCAUAUUGGAUAAGAGGACCCGGAUUAGAUUCUUGAAAUUGGAUCCAAUUGGCUCAUCGAACCAAGUUCACCUGUCGUGUGAAUUGGUCCUUUCUCUUCCUACUGACUCUCGUUAAUGGAAUCGAAUGGAACAUUUCAAUAUCUCCCGGCUAACUGUAACGGGGUGACUGAACGUGGCCACUCAGUAUGUGCACCGGAGUUGGUCGUUGCUCCCAAUAUUGGAGGUAACUGAACAUUAAUAAAAGUCCCCUUUCUUUAUAUUUUCAUGGUAUACUCGUGUUACAACACGACACCAUUGCGUUCUCGAUCAGGAAAACACGUAAUAUGACAACAAAGGAGACUUGUGUUGAACUGGUUAGAACUUUGCUCAUGAAGCAAGCUUUAUAAUAGUUUGCUCCUUUGUUUGAGAAAGGAAUGUCAAUUUUGAAUAAAUUUGAAGCUUUUGUGGAGGCAUUUGUAAAAGCAUUUAGCAAACAUGACAAGGCACGAUGGACUACGACAAAGAUUCAGUCAUUACGAUAAGGCACAUGCUCCGUAUCAAUCUACGCUGUGGUGUUGUAAUACGAGUAUAUCGUGAAAAUAUAAAGAAAGGGGACUUUUAUUAAUGUUCAGUUACCUCAAAUAUUGGGAGCAACGACCAAUUCCAGUGCCAAUAUUCAGGGGCCAGUUUAGACAUCCCAUUACAGCCGGUUAGGGCAUACUUACUAGUAACGAAAUGCUCCGUUCGAGUCCAAUAGUGGGAGUCAAUAGAAUCAAAAGGACCAAAUCGAUGACUGAGCGAGCCUGAUGCAAAGGACCAAUUUGAUCUAAUUACGGAAACAUCCAGGUCUUACUACGGGCCUCUUAGCCAAUGUGAGACCUGAUUUGGUCAAGCGACUCAAUGUGGUCCCGAGUAUGGAGGUUUUAAUUCUGUUUCGAGCUGUCUUGUUCUCUGUGUCAUUUCAAGGAACGUUGUUUCCGAAAAAAGAACCUUUUAAAAGGUAAAAAAUCGAGAAGAAAGCUCUGACGGCGGAGCCAAUUUCGGAUCGAAGACAGAAGAUUGAAGAAAUUCAGAGGCUAGGAUUUGAGAAAGGGGAGGAAAAAAACAUUCGGAAAUGGUUAAGGUGGAGUAGAGGAUUCAGAGAUUUGGAAAUUAGGAAGGUUAAGAAAAAAGGAGGAUACAAGGUUUUUGGGUAGGGAUCAAAAAAGGGGACUUCUAGUGAUCAAAGAUGAAAGGUCAAUGUGUUGUACUAAUAAAUCGAGGUUUUAAUAAAGUAGGUGUGAUUACUCUUGAGUGUUUUGUGAAAUCGAAGUUACGACUGUGAUUGAAGAAUUAAAAGGGUGUCUAUAGGAUUGAAUAUGCGGAGUGAAUGAAAUUUUUUGGGUUAAUCUAACAAGACAGUCAGUGGAUACAAGGUUGUGAGUAUAAAGGGGUAUCGGAGAUUAGGAGAUUGGGUUGUUUGGAGUUCUCUAUAAUGUCUAGAGUCUUACCGAUUGGGGCAAAAAAGAUUUCGACGGGUAAUCAAAGGACAUCCGUAUAGAUUUUUGAUAUAUUCUUAUAAUUAUUUAUAUUCCAACAGUCAAAAACCGAUAGACUGCUUAAAUAUUAGCGAAUCUCCAUACUACCUCCUACACCCAGACGUCCGGUACGUUCUCAAGCAGGAAAGCACGUAAUACGACAUAAGUGGUGAACCCAACGUGAAAGCUUGAGGCGGAAGGUAUUGGAUUUUAUUUGAUUUUAUCUUUAUUUUAUGGAAAACAAAAAUAAAAAUUUUGAAGGAUUUUUGGGAGGAGUUUCUGGUGAGGAUUCUUUUAAAGGACAAGGUAUGCACAUGAAUCCAUCUAUUACUAGUAUGUUUCAAGCCUUCUCAUUAUCAAUGCAGCAACAACAAAGCAAUGAUCGAAAAGAAGCUUUGGCAACCAAAGCAUUGCAAGCAGUGGUCAAUAAAAUUGAUCAAUUUGAUGGAAGGAAUAUUUCAAGGUAUUUAAGAUGUUAUGUUUGUGAAAUGGAAUUAAAUCGAGUUUUUGAGAAGAAAAUGGUUGAAUUAUUUGGACUUGCCACAAUACCGAAGAUAAGAGACCAUAUUACAUUGAUUACGGAUCGUUAUAGGAAUUCAUGGGAGGUUUUUUCACAUGCAUUGAAAGACAAAUAUUUCUUGGAAGAUACUAAUCGCAUUACUAAGAAGCUGUUUCUAAAAUGGAUUGAACGGCCUAAUAAAAAUUUACAAGCAACAGAGCUACUAAGGAAAUUUGAGAGGCAGUACUCUCAAUUAUCGAAGGUAGAAAAAUUGACAUUGGAGUCAAAUAAAGUUGAUCUAUUUCUUCAAGUUGCUGAUGGAGAAUUGCAAGGGAAAUUAGAACUCCUUCUUGAAGACAAAGAAGAGGAUAAAGGAUUGACAACAAAGUAGAAAAACGUUGAAGAUGCAAUGGAGUUGCUUACAAAAAGAGAAAGAAAGAAGAAUAGGAGCAAUAUUCCAAAAACAAUACAAGCAUCCAAAGCUCCAGUACAUACAACACCACUAACAAUGCCUACAGUUCAAUCUUCGACAUCCUUAUCAAAGAAAGCAGAUAUGCAGAUGGAAGAAAUUAUACGAAGAAUGCGAGAUCUUCAAAUCAAAUUAGCAAGAUUUGAAGAAAAUACUUCUACAAAUAAUUUGAAGAAUGUUUCAAAACAAGGAUAUGUACAAAGAUGCAUUUGGUGUGAUGACGCUUCACACACUAGGAAAGAUUGCAAUGAAUUUAAUAAUAUGAUACGGCAAGGAAUUAUUUGCUGAAAAGAUGGAAAGAUAGCAUUAAAAGAUAGGGAGGAUAUUCUUCAAACCAAUUUUGGCAAGGGAGGAAUGAGAGCAUUGGUUCAAGAUUACUUAAAAGAGCAUGAAACAUCAGCACGAGAAAGUGCAAGUUAUGGUGCUAGAGUAGAUGAUGAAAUUGGUGGAAGUACGGAAACUAGUGAGUUUUGGGCUUCUGCCAUUUCUACAAUGCAAGAAGGGAAAUUACCUCGAGAAGCGUUAUUGAGGAUUGCAGCUACAAUUCGAGGUGCAAUAGGUUGGGAGGAUCUUGUUGAGUCUCUUUCAGUUCAUGCAUGUAUUGCUAAGAGCUAACAUGAAGCUUUGAUGGAAGAAAAGAGAUGAAGAAAUUUUGAUGAUACAAGAGAAGGAAAUUCUUCUAAGAGGCAAACUCGAGGAGACAAGGCUUGGGAGGUAGCUUCACAAGAAUUGCCUGUAAAGGAUACCUCAGUAUCAUUGGAAGAAAAAACAAAGGAGACAAAACAUAAGGGCAAAUCAAUCGCUUAUAAGCUACUUUCUGACAUUGAAGCGGCAACAAAUUUGAAAGGGGUGUUGGAAGAACGUAUAUUAAACGCUAAGGUGGAAUUCACAUUGAAAGAAGUCUUGGGAAUAACAAAGAAAGAAUUUCAUGAUGUUAUCAUUGACAGCAUUAAGCAAAAGAGGCAAUUAAUGGGCGAAAUUGGAAUGAAUCAUACUAUUGAUGCAAGAAUAUAUAAAGAUGAAGAAGAGGUUGAUAUUGGUUACAAGCAACCAACAAAUGAAAAGAAUGGGUAUAAUCAACGAGUACAUUUCGAAGAUUAUAGUGAUAAGGAAAUGGAAACUUUGAGCCAUUAUACUCAAAAGCAUUAGGCAAGGACAACUACUGAGGUAUUAGUGAAAGUAUGAGAUAUAGAAGAACCAAUUGUUGCUUUAGUCAACCAUGGUCCUGAAAUAAAUCUCAUGUCUAAAGAUCUUUAUAAGAAGCAAAAAUGGCCAAUUGAUAUAGAAUAUGGAUGGACAAUACGAGCAGCUAAUAACACAUGGGGCGAAUUAUAUGGAGCUUGUCCAGAUGUCAAAAUUCGGAUUGGGGAUGUUGCGAUGGAGCAACAUUUCUUUGUUCAAGAUACAACGUCUUAUCCGUUGAUUUUAAGACAACCUUAUAUUACAGCAACAUGGAUGGAAACAAAAGUACUUAAAGAUGGUUCUGUUUAUGCAAGGGUACGUAGCGAAGAUGAGAGGAAAGUUGUACAAUUUCUAAUAGUACCUCCUAACCAUGAACGAAAUCGAGAUAGGUUGAGGGAAAAACCAUUGCCAAAGAAUGUUGAAGGAUUUAAGGAUUUUGGGGAGGUACCACUAUAAAGCGAGAUUAUGGAGGUACAAAGGAGGAGGUACUCUCGCGAGAUGAAUGUACCUUUGAUACGAAUUUUAUCGAUAUUUUGGAGAAUGGAAAUAUUAUGUAUAAGAAAGUUGAUGAUUUUAAAAGAAAAGAAAGAAAAAGAUUAUAUAAUAUUGAAGGAGAAUUAUGCAAGUUAGGUACAUUACAAGACGAUGAGAGGAUUUUAGGUGUUUAUGAAGAAAAUGGAUUGGAAGAUUCAUUGGAAUUGAUUACAUCUAUUGGGUUAGGGGAUAAUGAUAAGAUUGUUGAAAUUCAUUCAAGAGAGAUUUAUACCAUACUUGAAUCUUUUCAAGCACCAAAAGUCACUGUAGAGACGAGAUAUAAAAUGACAGAUAAGAAAGUAAAGCCUGUUGCCGGACCAUUACCAGAAGAUUCUAAAAAACAAAUGGGAGAAGCAUCAAAAGAAGCAAGUUUAAGAGAUCCAAUGAGUAUUGGACAUCAGUUUACUAAAGAGACUUUUGAAGAAUUGAAGAUUGGUUCUGAUGGUUCUUUAUUGUCGGAGGAAAUUACUUGCUUCAAAAAGAUGUUGGCUAAACAAGGUAGAUCGUUUGCCUUCGAAUCUUAUGAAAUUGGUUGUGUGGAUCUGAAUAUUAUAACACUUAUGGUUAUCUUCACUGUACUACAUGUACCUUGAAAUCUAAGACCGAUUCCAGUACCGAGGGCACAUUUACCUAAAUUACUGGAACUAUUAAAAGAAAAGAUGAAGAUGAAAAUAUUGGAACCCUCAUUUGCGCCGUAUUCUAGUCGAUGGUUUACGGUACCUAAGAAGAAUGGGUCACUACGGUUUAUUCAAGAUAUGCAACCAGUGAAUGCAGUGAUUGUCAGAAAUGCAGGAAUUGGGCCUAUUGUGGAUGAAUUUACUGAGGUGUUUGCAGGAAGGGCGAUCUAUUCAAUGGGUGACUUGUAUUCAGGUUAUGAUCAAUUUCAACUUGUCGAAGGAAGUAGAGAUAUGAUGAUGAUGAGGACACCACUUGGAUUGGUUAGAAUGUGCACUCUUCCUCAAGGCGCGACCAACUCAGUUGCGCAUAUGAUGAAUGGGAUGAAUAAGGUAUUGAGAGGUUUUAUUCCCAAAAAGACUAUGCCUUUUCUGGAUGAUGUUCCUAUAAAAGGGUGUAAGGAAGAGAGUAAAAUUGUUUAAACAAAGAUAUGCAGAAAUAAAUAUAGAAGACUUUAAUGAAGACAUAGAUAUUCCGAAGUGAGAAGAUGAAAUUGAUUUGGAUAGCAGAGACGGUGGAGAUGGACUAGACAAAGAUUUGGAGAACAUAUUAUGAAUCAAACGGCAAGUAGGUUAAUUGGUGCAUAUUAGAGGAUACACAGGUUCAGAGGGGGUAGAUAUCAUGUUGUAACACGAGUAUACCGUGAAAAUAUAAAGAAAGGAGACUUUUAUUAAUGUUCAAUUACCUCGAAUAUUAUGAGCAACGACCGAUUCCAGUGCCAAUAUUCAAGGGCCAAUUUAGACACCCCAUCACAGUCAGUCAGGGCAUACUUACCAGUAACGAAAUGAUCUAUUUGAAUCCAAUAGUAGGAGUCAACAGAAUCAAAAGGACUAAAUUGAUGAUUGAGUGAGCUUGACGCGAAGGACCAAUUUGAUCCAAUUACGGGAACAUCCAGGACUUACUACGAACCUCUUAGCCAAUAUGAGACCUGAUUUGGUCGGGCGACUCAAUGUGGUCUCGAUUAUAGGGGUUUCGAUUCCGAUUCGGGCUGUCCUAUUCUCUGUGCCGUUUCAGGGAAUUUUGUUUCCAGAAAAAGAACCUUUUAAAAGGCAAAAAAUGGAAGAGAAAGCUCUAACAAUGGAGCCAAUUCCGGAUCUAAGACAGAAGAUUGAAGAAAUUUAGAGGCUAGGAUUUGAGAAGGGGGGGGGAAAAAAAACAUUCGGAAAUGGUUAGGAUAGAGGAGAGGAUUUAGAGAUUCGGAAAUUAGGGAGGUUAAGAAAAAGGGAGGAUACAAGGUUUUUGGGUAGGGGUCAGAAAAGAGACUUUUGGCGAUCAAUGCUGAAAGGUCGAUGUGUUGUACUAGUGAAUCGAGGUUUUAAUGAAGUGGGUGUGAUUACUCUUGAUUGUUUUAUGAAAUCGAAGUUACGUCUGUGAUUGAAGAAUUAAAAGGGUGUCUAUAGGAUUGAGUAUGCGGAGUGAAUGAAAAUUUUUGGAUUAAUCUAAUAAGACAGUCAGUGGAUACAAGGUCGUGAGUAUAAAGCGGUAUUGGAGAUUAGCAGAUUGGGUUGUUCGG
rnacentral:lncRNA from 1 species